CCCUUAGAUGUUCUGGGCCGCACGCGCGCUACAAUGAUGAAUUCAACGAGUUUAUAACCUUGGUUGAAAAGCCUGGGUAAUCUUUUGAACUUUCGUCGUGAUGGGGCUAGCCCCUUGCAAUUAUUGGUCUCCAACGAGGAAUUCCUAGUAAACGCAAGUCAUCAGCUUGCAUUGAUUACGUCCCUGCCCUUUGUACACACCGCCCGUCGCACCUACCGAUUGAAUGGUCCGGUGAAAUCUUCGGAUUGAGACUUUGUUUUCUUCACGGAAAACGCUGUUUUAAAAAGUUGAUUAAACCUUACCAUUUAGAGGAAGGUGAAGUCGUAACA
rnacentral:rRNA from 1 species